ensembl:lncRNA
GCGUGAGCGGCGGCGCGUCCCGGAGGCGUCCACGGCAGAAGAUGGAGUGGGAAAGCGGGUGUUUGUCUCGCUCUUUCGGGAGCCGGAGCAGACCGUCAGCCCGCAGCAGCUCGGGUUCCCGACGCGGAGCGCUCGCCUGCCUCGGCCGCCGCCAGAGCGGUCCGAAGACGCCCACACUGCCGCCACCGGCGCCAAGCUGGAGCGCGACGUCCGUGCCCGGACCUGCCCGGCCUCUCUUCCUCUGAUCUGUGGGACCAUGCGACAGAGAGGACCGGUCACUCACUUCGUUUCAAGGUGACUUGUGGGGUCCGGAGCCGUUUGCAUCUGUCUGCUGCAGUUUGGAAACAGAGUAACGGCCCAAGAGAAGCCCGGCAAACUUGUCCAAACCACACAGAACUUCAGGCCCUACAAACGCCAACUGGGCAUGGAGCACAGGAAGAGUUCUUCUCCCUCGAAAAUGCCUGACAUCCAUGAAGAGCUUUACAAUUUACAAAGCUAUGUGACAUCCACCAUCUCAUCUUUAGAUCAACAAUGUGAGCUCAGGGAUGCCACCCCCAGCAGUCAGUUCAGCUGCAGGGAAGAGAGAACCUCUCCAGCUAUCUUAAGAAGAGGAAAUUACCCCUAGAAAUGAGGUGCUUACAGAAUUCUUGAACAGACCCGAGAGAGGCAACCUCUAGACUCUCAAAACAACUGAACUGUUCACCAAGAUUGCUGCGCUCUCUGCCACUAGCAGGAAGCACGGCACUUUAGAGAAGCUGUUCUGCUUUUCCACUUCUUGUCUGUUGCCAAGACCAGCUGUCCCCUUUGGCUUUCCAGAACCAUGACAGGUGGGAUGGGAGAGGCCAGAGGAAAAAAGGCCAGGGUGUCUG